CCUGGGGGUAGUCUGCCUUGGGAAAGUCCCAUAGUGUCCUGCCUUGUUCAACUUAAAGUAGCCUCCUCUCCCACCUUGCAUCCCUUGAAAUACUUGAAGAGAGCCACUAGGUUCCACUCUAUGUCUGUUCAUUUUCAUGUGACACACACUCUGGCCCUCAGUGAAUCAUUUGCAUAAAGUGGUUUCUAGACUCUUCAUCACGAAACCUGGUUCCUGAAUCGAUGCUAGUUGGCUGACAGUUGCUACUGGGAACCCUAUAUACAUAGGAUACAAUGCUUCCUGCAACUGAAAGCACCUUCCUGCACAUAAGAACCUUCUAUUCCUUCAUUCAUGGAUCCCCGGGUCCCGGAGACAGCGGCUACACCACACAGGGCAGACGACCCGACUCCGACUGAACAGGUACGGCUGAAAGAGACCUCACGUGCCCUGGGUGGCACUGCACUGACCGACAGCUCUCAUCCCACAUUUGCCUGAACCCAGAGAAUGACAACGCCAAGAGCGAGCCCUGCUGCAGACCGUGGACUCUGGUCGUCUGGGUAGGUUCUGAGUGUGUGUGUGUGUGGGGGGGGGGGCGCGUUGGUAAUGGGGAGACUGUGCGAGCGGGGACAUGGGUGGACUUUAUUGGGAACCCCUGGACUUUCCUGUCCAUGUUGCUGUGAACCUUCAACUGCACCAAAAACUAAAAUCUAUUAAAAAAUACGUUAUAACCGCCACUUAGGAUAAUGCAGAUUUUCUUGCUCUUUCCAGAACCUCCAGAGACAGCUGUAAGAAAAUGAAUUGACUUUUGCUCAAAACACAGAAAUCCUCAGAACCAAAAAUAAUCCCAGGAAGGAAAUAAAAUACAAGACACGCAGAACUCCGCA
rnacentral:lncRNA from 1 species